ACUGCGUUGACCCCGUUGUGUGAUUACCUCUGUGUAUUCGGUCACCAAAAAAAGAUUAUGUGUCGGAGAAAACAAACUUCAAAAGGGAUAUUUGUGAUGUGGAAGGGGAAAUGAACGAACACGGAUACAUUUUGUAGCUUUUGGUUCCAAGCCUGUAAACUGAGCCAAGCAAAAUAGAUAUGUGAUGGAGGAGACUGGUGAUUACAAACUAAUCAAAAGAAGAAUAUGUCAUAUCUUGGAUAAAAGUGGUUACCUUCAACAACUAGAUAUAUUGGUUACAGUUAAAUUAAAUAUUGUUGUUAAGAAGAUUUUCCCUAUUCAUCAUAGAGGAACAGAAACAUGUUUGGGUGGAACAUGUGCUUAAACUUUGCAUAAGUUUUGUUGAAACUUCCAUUUGAUACUGAAGAUGGUUGUUGAAUAUUGUUUGUUAACUAUAUCUAUAUGGCUUUAAAGAGAGAUGUUGACAGGUGCAAUUUUAGUGCAAAAAGUGCAUGUGUUACAUGUUGAAUGAACAAACAAUAGUAUGCAGUAAAACACCAAGAAUCAUUAUGUUUUCAUAACAUUUUAACAACUAAAUAAAUGGGUCGGAAUGUCCAUCUAUCCAUCCAUCAAAAGCAGAUAUCUACAUGUUUGUGAAACUUAAUACAUUAAAGAUGGAUAUAUCUCAUUGGGGAGAAAUGAUGUGUUGAAUUUGUAUGCCCCCCCUUUGAAGGAGGGGGGGGGUAUAUUGUUUUGCUAAUGUCAGUCCGUCGGUAGACCACAUGGUUUCCACUUAUUAUCUUGAAAAAUAUUUAUCAUAUAGUCUUAAUAUUUCACAUAAUGAUUGGUCAUAACUAGUAGAUGACCCAUAUUGAUUUUGGGUUCACUAGGUCAAAGGUCAAGGUCACAGGAGCCUUAAAUGUCAGAAUAGUUUCCGCUGAUUUUCUUGAAAAUAAUUCAUCAUAAAGUCUUCAUAUUUCACAUAUUAAUUGGUCAUAUCAAGUAGAUGACCCCUAUCGUUUUUGGGGUCACUAGGUCAAGGUCACAGGGGCCUUAAAUGUCAAAAUGGUGUCGCUGAUUAUCUUGUAAAGUAUUCAUCACAAAGUCGUCAUACUUCACAUAGUGAUUGGUCGUUAUAGUAGAUGACUUCUAUUGAUUUUGAAGUCACUAGGUCAAAGUCAAGGUCACAGAGGCCUUAAAUGUCAGAAGGGUUUCUGCUGAUUAUCUUGAAAAGAAUUCAUCACAUAGUCUUCAUAUUUCACAUAUUGAUUGGUUAUAACUAGUAGAUGACCCCUAUUGAUUUUUGGGUCAUAACGUCAAAGGUCAAGGUCACAGGGGCCUCAAAUGUCAGAAUGGCUUCUGCUCAUUAUCUUUGUUAUAAUUCAUCACAAAGUCUUCAUAUGUCACAUAUUAAUUGGUCGUAACUAGUAGAUGACCCCUAUUGAUUUUUGGGUCACUAAGUAAAAUGUCAAGGUCACAGGGGCCUUGAAUGGUUAUAUGAUUUCCACUUAUUAUUAUGGUUACUACUUAUUACAAAGUCUUCAUAUUUCACAUAUUGAGUCUCUGAUUUUCACGCUCUUGUUAAUCUUCGGCGAUAUCUGUGCCUUGUUGCUUACAUUGCUGACAUUAAUUUUCAUCGGAGUAAUAGUUGUGUAGAAAAGUGUGUAAUAAUAACUGACUAAGUGAAUAAAUAAUUAUUGCUUCUUAUAUAAGUAGAAAAUGCUUAGUCUUUUUUGUUGAUGUACCUCCGGGAAUUCAAUAAGGCGGAACUAAAUAUUUUUACUCUUGGUUAUAUAGUAGGUGGCCAAACAUUAAGCUAGUAGCAUUUCAUCAAACAUUUAAACAACCCUUGAUUUCAUGAAACUUUGAAAACUGUUUUGUCUUGUAACAUGUAAGAAAGCCUUUUUUUUUAAUUUCAAGUCUGCCAAAUGUUAGUAAGUAUUCUUGUUCUGUUUGAUCAAACCUAGUUAAAUGUUGUAGUUUUUUUUGUUUUUUUUUUUUCAAAAACAUCAUUGCAAGUUUUUCAGUCAAUUUUUAAAGUCUGUAAAAUGCCAUUACAUUUUUAAUUGUAGAAGACUAACUUAUACUGUACAUAUGUUAGAAAAAUUGUAGAUGUGUUAGAAUUAUAUUUAUAUAUCUGUAAAUUUGUUUUAAUGCUUUAGACUGUAAGAAUAUAAUUCUUCUUUCAUUUUGUCAAAUGUUCUCUGCUGUAACAUUUUGAAUGAAAACUUGUAUUUAAAUGCUUCAAUCUAUUGUCAGUAAAUCUUUUUUUCGGGCAUAUUAUGUUAUACCCCAUGGCAUCCUUCUGUCUGUCUGUCCGUCCGUCCGUUAGCAAUUUGGUUGCCGGAGCAUGACCUAAGUUCCAUUCAGCCCAAAAUAUUCAAACUUCAUAGGAUGAUUGUCCAUAUUGUUUAAAAGACCCCUAUUGAUUUUGGGGUCACAAGGUGAAGGUCACUAUUGCCUAACACUGAAAACAGUUUCCAGAGCAUACCUUAAGUUCCAUUUGGCCCACAAUAAACAAACUUCAUAGGAUGAUUGUCCAUACUAGGUAGAAGACCCCUAUUGAUUUUGAGGUCAAAGGUCACUAUGACUUUGACACUGAAAACAGUUUCCGAAGCAUAACUUAAGUUCCAUUUGGCCAACAAUAUUCAAACUUCAUAGGAUAAUUGUCCAUAUUGAAUUAAAGACCCCUAUUGAUUUUGGGGUCGCAAGGUCAAAGGUCAAGGUCACUAUUACCUAACACUGAAAACAGUUUCCGGAGCAUAACUUAAGUUCAAUUUGGCCCACAAUAUACAAACUUUAUAGGAUGAUUGUCCAUAUUGGGUAUAAGACCCCUAUUGAUUUUGAGGUCACCAGGUCAAAGGUCAAUGUCACUAUGACCUUGACACUGAAAACAUUUUCAGAGCAUAACUUAAGUUCCAUUUGGCCCACAAUAAACAAACUUCAUAGGAUGAUUGUCCAUAUUUGGUAGAAGACCCAUAUUGAUUUUGGGGUCAAAGGUCAAGGUCACUAUUAGCUUAACACUGAAAACAGUUUCCAGAGCAUAACUUAAGUUCCAUUUGGCCAACAAUAUUCAAACUUCAUAGGAUGAUUGUCAAUAUUGGGAAGAAGACCCCUAUUGAUUUUGGUGUCACAAGGUCAAAGGUCAAGGUCACUAUUACCUUGACACUGAAAUUUUUUUUCGGAGCAUAACUACAGUUCCAUUUGGCCCACAAUACUCAAACAUAUAGGAUGAUUGUUCAUAUUGAGUAGAAGACCCCUAUUGAUUUUUUGGUCACAAGAAAAGGUCAAGGUCACUAUUAUCUUAAAACUGAAAACAGUUUCCAGAGCUUAGCUUAUGUUCCUUUUUGGCCCACAAUGUUCAAACUUCAUAGGAUGAUUGUCCAUAUUGAGUAGAACACCCCUAUUGAUUUUGGGGUCACAAGGUCAAAAGUCAAGGUCACUAUUACCUUAAAACUGAAAACAGUUUCCAGAGCUUAACUUAUGUUCCUUUUGGCCCACAAUAUUCAAACUUCAUAGGAUGAUUGUCCAUAUUGAGUAGAACACCCCUAUUGAUUUUGGGGUCACAAGGUCAAAAGUCAAGGUCACUAUUAUCUUAAAACUGAAAACAGUUUCUGGAGCAUAACUAAAGUUCCAUUUCGCCCACAGUGUUCAAACUUCAUUGGAUGAUUGUCAGUAUUGUGUAGAAGACCCCUAAAAAUUUUGGGUCACAAGGUCAAGGUCACUGAAAAUGGUUUUCGCUCAAUAACUUGAGUAUUAAUCAACCUACAGCUUAUAUUGAUUACAUUAAUUAUAAAUAUAUGUCCUAAAAAAAUUUUGCUUAUAUCAUGUUAUAUCCCUGGCGUCUUUCUGUCCAUCUGUUUAAGUAAAACAUUUUAAUUCCCAUGUCUUACAAAUGCUUCAUCCUUACUAAAAAAAAAAACACGUUCGGGCAUAUAAUGCUCCAACUAGCGAUGCUCUUGUUUUAAUUUCCAAAAUGUUCGGUGCUGUAACAUUUUGAAUGAAAACUUGUAUUUAAUGGUUCUAUCGAUUGUCGGUAAAUCUUUUUUUUUAACUUGUUAAUUGUUUUACGUCCAAACAUUUUGAAUUAAAACACUGAUUUACAAUAAUUCAUUUCUUUUUGCCUUUGUUUCUAAUUUUGCGAAAGUGCUGAACAUUUUUUUUUUCAAAGUCAUUAAGUUUUUAUGAUUUUUAAAACUUAUUUGAAAUAAAGAAAGUAAUUUUUGAAAUUUUACAAAAUGUUCGGUGCCCUAAAUUUUCCAUUAGUGAAUUCUUUAAUGCUUAAAAAAGUCCCUUUUAUAUAUUUUGUACAUGGUAUAUUGUAGUUCUGUAAAUUGUUUGGUGCCCUAACUUUUUAAAUGAAAACUUGUAUUUAAACUUGCUUCAGUCUAUUGUUAGUAAAUCUUUGUUUUAAUUUGCAAAAUGUUCGGUGCCCUAACAUUUUUAGUAAAAGCAUUGAUUAAACAUUGAAGUCCAUCAUCAGUAAAUCUUUUUUUUUAAUUUGCAAAAUGUUCGGUGCCCUAACAUUUUGAAUGAAAACUUGUAUUUAAUGCUUCGGUCUAUUGUCAGUAAAUCUUUGUUUUAAUUUGGAAAUUGUUCGGUGCCCUAACAUUUUAAGUUAAAACAUUGAUGAAACACUUAAGUCUAUCGUCAGUAUAUCAUUUUUUAAUUUGUAAAUUGUUCGGUGCCCGAACAUUUUGAAUGAAAUCUUGUAUUUAAUGCUUCGGUCUUUUGUCAGUUAAUCUUUGUUUUAAUUUGGAAAUUGUUCGGUGCCCUUACAUUUUUAGUUAAAACAUUGAUUAAACACUUAAGCCCAUCGUCAGUAAAUCAUUUUUUAAUUUGUAAAUUGUUCGGUGCCCGAACAUUUUGAAUGAAAACUUGUAUUUAAUGCUUCGGUCUAUUGUCUGUAAAUCUUUGUUUUAAUUUGGAAAUUGUUCGGUGCCCUAACAUUUUUAGUUAAAACAUUGAUUAAACACUUAAGCCCAUCGUCAGUAAAUCUUUUUUUUAUUUUGGAAAUUGUUCGGUGCCCGAACAUUUUGAAUGAAAACUUGUAUUCAAUGCUUCGGUCUAUUGUCAGUUAAUCUUUGUUUUAAUUUGGAAAUUGUUCGGUGCCCUAACAUUUUUAGUUAAAACAUUGAUUUAACAAUUAAGUGUAUCGUCAGUAAAUAUUUUUUUAAUUUGUAAAUUGUUCGGUACCCGAACAUUUUGAAUGAAAACUUGUAUUUAAUGCUUCGGUCUAUUGUAAGUAAAUCUUUGUUUUAAUUUGGAAAUUGUUCGGUGCCCUAACAUUUUUAGUUAAAACAUUGAUUUAACACUUAAGUCUAUCGUCAGUAAAUAUUUUUUUAAUUUGUAAAUUGUUCGGUGCCCUAACAUUUUGAAUGAAAACUUGUAUUUAAUGUUUCGGUCUUUUGUCAGUUAAUCUUUGUUUUAAUUUGGAAAUUGUUCGGUGCCCUAACAUUUUUAGUUAAAACAUUGAUUAAACACUUAAGUCUAUCGUCAGUAAAUCAUUUUUUAAUUUGUAAAUUGUUCGGUGCCCGAACAUUUUGAAUGAAAACUUGUAUUUAAUGCUUCGGUCUAUUGUCAGUAAAUCUUUGUUUUAAUUUGGAAAUUGUUCGGUGCCCUAACAUUUUUAGUUAAAACAUUGAUUAAACACUUAAGUCUAUCGUCAGUAUAUCAUUUUUUAAUUUGUAAAUUGUUCGGUGCCCGAACAUUUUGAAUGAAAACUUGUAUUUAAUGCUUCGGUCUAUUGUCAUUAAAUCAUUGUUUUAAUUUGGAAAUUGUUCGGUGCCCUAACAUUUUUAGUUAAAACAUUGACUAAACACUUGCGUCCAUCUUUAGUAAAUCUUUUUUUAAUUUGCAAAAUGUUCGGUGCCCUAACAUUUUGAAUGAAAUCUUGUAUUUAAUGCUUCGGUUUAUUGUCAGUUAAUCUUUGUUUUAUUUUGGAAAUUGUUCGGUGCCCUAACAUUUUUAGUUAAAACUUUGAUUUGAUGAUUUAGUCUGGUCAAUGAAGUAAUUCAUUUAUUUUUCAUUUCACAAAAUGUUCGGGCACCGAACAUUAUGUUGUAGCAGAAUAAUUGUGGCCAAGAAGUGUUAGAUAUAUAAGAAGUUAAUUUAGAAAUGUGAAUUGUGUAUGUAAAUAUUUGAUCUGUUAAUAAAAAUGCUUUUGAUAUUUCAAUGAUUUUAAUAAAGAAUUGUCCAUUUAUAUAAA